rnacentral:miRNA from 1 species
CACGUUACAAUAUAUGGGUCG